UUACUUAAAGUAUAAAUACGUUGUUUUUACGUGAUGAACGAAUAACUUUCGCCCCUAACUGAAAUAUAAAUUUCAUGUUGAAUGCGAAUUGAUUGGUCUUACUGAUUUUAUUAAAAACUAAAAUUAGUUAUGUAAUUCCUAUGUAUUAUUGCUAUAUACUUUUAAUUUCUGUUUUCAGGCAGCCGAGUUUAGAUAAUCAAAAUUUUCAACCGUUUUGAAGGAUUAAACAUGUUUAAAGGUCAUGGGGGCACCUUCUGAGUAAAACCAAGGAUGUCUAUAUGUGGAGGAAUUCACAUUAGCAACAACACAAUUCUACUCAAAUUUGGAUAAAUUAUGUUUGAAAGCACAUUCUGAUUUCAAUCGAUUUUAAAAGAAUUUGCAUGUACCACAAAUAACAUGUCUUACUCCACUUAUAAUGAAAAAUAUAUAUUUUAUUGGUCGUUUGGGCUCAUCUGUAUGUACUAUCUACGAGUUUGAAGUUUUUACAUGAAAACAUCAUUAUGGGAAAUAUUCAUAUGUAUGUCCAUGUCCAAGACUCGUUCAAUAAUAGUUUUGUAUUUUGGUCAAUUCUGCAAAGCGCUGCUGGAAAUUUAUACCACGUGCUACCAUGAUUGCCGCCUUAGAAUGGAAUAAAAUAAGUUUACCUGAGGUUACAACUUGUUUGAAAAACAUGUUGGCAGAAAACAGUCG